rnacentral:rRNA from 1 species
UACUUAGGGACCAAUCGUUGUUCGGAUUUACUGGGCGUAAAGCGCGUGUAGGCGGUUGCCAAAGUCGGGUGUGAAAGCCUUGAGCUCAACUCAAGAAAUGCACUCGAUACUUGGUGACUAGAGGACCGGAGAGGAUAGUGGAAUUCCCAGUGUAGUGGUGAAAUACGUAGAGAUUGGGAAGAACACCAGUGGCGAAGGCGGCUAUCUGGACGGUUUCUGACGCUAAGACGCGAAAGCGUGGGGAGCAAACAGG